rnacentral:rRNA from 1 species
UACGUAGGGUGCAAGCGUUGUCCGGAAUUAUUGGGCGUAAAGAGCUCGUAGGCGGCUUGUCGCGUCGGCCGUGAAAACCUGGGGCUCAACCCCGGGCCUGCAGCCGAUACGGGCAAGCUAGAAUUCGGUAGGGGAGACUGGAAUUCCUGGUGUAGCGGUGAAAUGCGCAGAUAUCAGGAGGAACACCGGUGGCGAAGGCGGGUCUCUGGGCCGAUAUUGACGCUGAGGAGCGAAAGCGUGGGGAGCAAACAGG